rnacentral:lncRNA from 1 species
GGAGGCGCAGCAACGCGCUCGCCAAAGCAUCAAGCGGUCCAAGCAGAGGAAGAUCCCAAAGGCGGAGGCUGAGGAGAGGAAGAUGCGUUCCAAGGCAGGCGCCAGGAAGAAGAAGGGCAACAAGUCGUCCAGGGGCAAGCUCUCCAACGCGUCAAGGUAUCCCUAGCCUAGCCUAGCGGACUCGGAAUCAAAACUUUGAGCCCAUGAAAAUUUUGACCUCCGGGCUGCUUGUUAGCCCACCAUAACUUCACUAUUGAUGAUGCACUCUUUGGCCUGUCAUCAAUUUUACCUGCAAUUUCCUGCACUUUGUUCGCUGUCUGUCAAGAAAAAUGGCUGGAUUUCCUUUUAGUAGCUGUUCCCGGUGAUGGAAUUUUUAUUGGUGCUACUGCAGAGUCUUAACUGUUUACGCGCACUUAAUUCCCUGCAUUUCUGCUGUGAUUGCCGACACGGAAUGGAAUGGAGUGAAAUGACAUUUGUACAACUACCCGCGGUACUCUUGAUUGUUUGUGCUUGCUUAUUCGUACAUUCACUGUAAACAAUCAUGCCAGCAUCAAUUACUGCAUACACACAACUGUUUCUCUAUGAUUUCUUGCAAUGAGAAACAUAUUCACAUGUCAAAUUUAUCAAUCAUCACAAUUUUGCUUUUACGUAUACAUCUAUCACCCUAAUGACUUGCUACUUGUGAGCUACAGCUUUAUUUUUCCCAAAUUAACAUCGCUGUCUCAAAACAUGUCGCUCUCUUGCUCUAAGCUGUGGCCGCCCACUUCACUUACAAUUUCCAGGUUUUUAAACAGUGACUAGAGACAUAACUUUGCUUAAAUCUACCAGCUUACCCACAUGGUAAAUAACUACAGUCAUGCUCUAUGGUCUUAAAUCUACAGAAAAACUUACCUUACACCCACAGGAAAUAAGAUUAUAGUAGCUGCAGUGAUUCUAUGGAAAUUCUUGUGCUUAUUCAUGUGAUCCAGUGGAUAUGAUAUGAUAUGAUAUGAUAAAUAAAAUUGCAUGUCAUGAUCACAUAAACCUACCAGAAAAUUCAUGUGUAGUUUCAACAACCCAAAAUGAUUUAGGGAACCAUUUCAAUGUACCUUUCUAAAAUUCACCAAGAAAAAUAGAUUUGCUUAAACAUUUUCAGGUGUCAAAUUUAUCAAUCAUCACAAAUUUGUUUUUAGGUAUAGAUAUCUAUGACCCUAAUGACUUGCUACUUGCGAACUAGAACCUUUUUUUCGCAAAUUAACAUCACUGUCUCAAAACAUGUCGCUCUCUUGCAUGCUGGUGAGCUCUUCAACAUGUCAGGAAAAUUCUGAAUGUCUAGCCUACAAAUAUAUUCACCAGGUAGCAUUCUCUAGUGUCAUAAAACCGCACUGGGAAGAUAGUAGCACACUAGUAUCUCAUGAUUCAUAAUUAAACUUGUGGCAUUAUGCCAGUGAGUACUUUGACAUGUCGAAAAAUUCUGUUUCUGUCUAGCAUGCAAUAGGAUUCACCAUACUUAUUCACUAGUCAUAUAUUUAUACUGAAUAGAUAUUUGCAUAAUUGAAAUUUUCUAGCUUGGAAGGUUAUUCACCAAGUGACAAUCACUAGGGUCAGUGUUCAGAAAGCGUUGGCAAUAAUGGCCAUAUGCUUUGGCCGUAAGCGGCAGAUUAUGCAUUUUCCAAUAAAAAGAUGGGCCAUAAUUUAGCUGUUUUUGAAGUAAAAUGUUUGGCUGAUGGCCAUAAGCGAUCUAUGUUAUUACGAAGGCCUGUUUGGGAACUAUUUGCUUUGGAUUUUGGCCACAUCAUCUCCAUUAGGCCAUGUCUACUUGAACGGGACUGCAUUUUAGUUUUUACUUCGCUUGCUGCGUGAACCUGGUGUUUAUAUGCUAUGGUGUUAACCUGCAUUUUCGAUGCUAUUUGCUAUGUUUCCUAUUCUCCUGUGCAUGUUUUUCAAAAAACAGCCAAAUUCUGGCCAUUUUUUUCGAACACUUAAGCGUUCAUUGCUCUAAGCUGUUGCCGCCCAUUUCGCUUAUACUUUCCAGGUUUUUUAACAGUGACUAGAGACAUAACUUUGCUGAAAUCUACCAGCUUAACCACAUGGUAAAUAAAGCCAAUAGUAAUAAUGUGGCUCUAAGCUUAAUCUCCUGCAAUGUUUCGUAUUGAUUGUUAGAUGGCAUCCAAAUAGGUAAUAAUGUGCCUCUAAGCUUAAUCUUCAGCAAUGUUUGUAUUGAUUGUUAGCUGGCAUCCAAAUUCAAAAAGCUUUCUCAAAAUCUAUUUCCCACCCGCUCUAUUAAAUAGAACCAUAGGAACCAAUAGAUAUAGCUCUGAUUUUCUGGGAGCUAGCUUCCAUUGUAUAUUCCUCGAGUUUUCUCUAUGCAUCUACCUCUCUUAAGUUUAUUUUACGGUUACAACUUAGGUACAAAACUACCCAAUCUUAGCAAUGUACACUCAAAGGGUGCUUGGAUCCAAGGGACUAAAACUAGUCUGACUAAAACUAGUCUCUUUAAGAGGCUAAAGUUCCAAGCACCCAUGACUAAAGAGAGGCUAAAACUAGUCUUGAGGCUAAAAUAUUUUAGUCAGGGGUACCCCUACUAAAAUGUGCAUUAGUCCUCUCUCUCCUCAUUUAAUUUCGCAGGCAAGUUUUGGAUUGGAGGGUNN